GACACGGCCCAGACUCCUACGGGAGGCAGCAGUGGGGAAUAUUGCACAAUGGGCGAAAGCCUGAUGCAGCGACGCCGCGUGAGGGAUGACGGCCUUCGGGUUGUAAACCUCUUUCAGCAGGGAAGAAGCGCAAGUGACGGUACCUGCAGAAGAAGCGCCGGCUAACUACGUGCCAGCAGCCGCGGUAAUACGUAGGGCGCAAGCGUUGUCCGGAAUUAUUGGGCGUAAAGAGCUCGUAGGCGGCUUGUCACGUCGGAUGUGAAAGCCCGGGGCUUAACCCCGGGUCUGCAUUCGAUACGGGCUAGCUAGAGUGUGGUAGGGGAGAUCGGAAUUCCUGGUGUAGCGGUGAAAUGCGCAGAUAUCAGGAGGAACACCGGUGGCGAAGGCGGAUCUCUGGGCCAUUACUGACGCUGAGGAGCGAAAGCGUGGGGAGCGAACAGGAUUAGAUACCCUGGUAGUCCACGCCGUAAACGUUGGGAACUAGGUGUUGGCGACAUUCCACGUCGUCGGUGCCGCAGCUAACGCAUUAAGUUCC
rnacentral:rRNA from 1 species